ensembl:lncRNA
GAGGGAUUUAAGCUCUGCGCUGUCAUCUCCUCCCUGCCAGUUCGUCAGCUACCUGAUGUUGGUAACCGGCCCUCACGUUCAUGCUGCUAAUCUCAAGUUGUUUGACUCACGCUGUUUCUUGUGCUUCAGGACCUAUUCUCCAGUGUCGACUGCUGCUCACCACUUGGAUCUCAGCUCCUUUUCACUUCACUGGGAAAUAUCUUCAAACCUCACCUGCCUGCCCUCCUGCUCACCCACCACUUUGGAUCCACUGAACCCCAGGUGACUGUAAAUCAAGUGGACCUUGGUCUAUCUCCCUCCAGAAUAGAGAACCUGGAAUGUUCCUGUGAGUCUUUGGUGGCUUUAGGAAGGCACGUUUUCCAAUACUUUCAAAAUAGGCUGGUGCAGUCCUACCAACAGCAGCCCUUGGACCUUGAUCAUAUUGAGUUCCUCUGCAUGAACGCAUCAACUCUAAUCUGUUCUCUUUCUGCUCAUAUUAAUGUUCCAUCACUGGUAGUUGAAGCUCUUCACCACCUCAUCUGCCUCAUCUAUUCCAAUAUGGAUACGAGAAGGUCUGCCAUUGUUGUUGACAGCUCAGCUGGUGAACGGGGGGGGGGGAGGCAAAGCUCUGUUUCAAAAGACCACAUCAAAGAUCUAAUAAAGAUGGACCUCUCAGUUCCUUGUAUCUCCAAGCUUUUGGGCAUUGUUACGACCCCCUCUGCUAGGCGACAGGUGGGGAGGAAACAUACACAAGCCCUCUCACGAAAUCAGAGUAAAUAAGGGGUUUUAUUGUAAACGUUAAACUGAAAACCGACGGGGCUGUUCAACAGACCACCGGGCAAAUAAUUGAUACACAAUGAAAAGAACAGGCAAGAAUAAAAACUAAGGGUUAACUAAGGCAAGCCAGC